rnacentral:rRNA from 1 species
UAAGGAAUAUUGGUCAAUGGGCGAAAGCCUGAACCAGCCAUGCCGCGUGCAGGAAGACGGCCCUAUGGGUUGUAAACUGCUUUUGACGGGGAAAAAAGACCGAGACGAGUUUUUGGUUUGCUUGUACCUGUUGAAUAAGCAUCGGCUAACUCCGUGCCAGCAGCCGCGGUAAUACGGAGGAUGCAAGCGUUAUCCGGAUUUAUUGGGUUUAAAGGGUGCGCAGGCGGACGAUUAAGUCAGUGUGAAAUGCAACAGCUUAACUGUUGAACUGCCAUUGAUACUGAUUAUCUAGAGUACAGACGACGUUGGCGGAAUGCGACAUGUAGCGGUGAAAUGCUUAGAGAUGUCGCAGAACACCGAUUGCAAGGCAGCUAACGAGGAUGUAACUGACGCUCAUGCA